rnacentral:rRNA from 1 species
UGUUCCUACGGGACGCAGCAGUCGGGAAUAUUGCGCAAUGGAGGAAACUCUGACGCAGUGACGCCGCGUAUAGGAAGAAGGUUUUCGGAUCGUAAACUAUUGUCGUGAGGGAAGAAAUUGACAGUACCUCAGGAGGAAGCUCCGGCUAACUAUGUGCCAGCAGCCGCGGUAAUACAUAGGGAGCAACCGUUAUCCGGAUUUAUUGGGUGUAAAGGGUGCGUAGACGGGAAAUUAAGUUAGUUGUGAAAUACCUCGGCUUAACUGAGGAACUGCAACUCAAACUGAUUUUCUUGAGUACUGGUGAG